rnacentral:rRNA from 1 species
AUGGCGAAAACCAAACGAAGAAAGGGAAUGCCAAGUGUAUACAAGAAGGCGGCAAUCAAAAGAGAAACAAAUGCAGGGGAGGAAGUAACUUCUUUGGAGCCUCACCACGAAGCCUAUGAACCAGAAAGAACACCAUCCAGAGUGGAGCAGCCUGAUGCGAAUGACUCAACUCCAGACCCACAAUUACCAUCUCAGGCUCCACAGGUAACUUCGUCAUGUGAUGAUAAUGCUCUUACAUUGGAUGAUCUAGAUAUACCUAUUGCCCACCGAAAACAACCUCGAUUAACUGCUGGGAAAUUGCCAUCAAGAAUGUCACCCUAUAAUGUCUCCAAUUAUGUUUCAUAUUCCUCUGUGGGUCCUCAAUACAAUUCAUUCAUAGCUGCUCUAGAUUCGAUGGCACCACUACCACAUGACUGGCAGGAGGCAGUAAGGGACCCAAGGUGGAGAGCAGCAAUGGUUGAAGAAAUGACUGCACUCGAUAAGAAUAAUACUUGGGAACUCUCUAUACUUCCCGCAGGUAAGAAAGUUGUGGGUUGUAAGUGGGUGUUCACCAUAAAGCAAACACCCGAGGGCAAAAUAUAG